AUUGAACGCUGGCGGCAGGCCUAAAACAUGCAAGUCGAGCGAGCGGCGGACGGGUGAGUAAUGUAUGGGGACUGCCCGAUAGAGGGGGAUAACUACUGGAAACGGUGGCUAAUACUGCAUACUAUCGGAUAACCCCUAUGGGAUUAGCUAGUAGGUGGGGUAAAGGCUCACCUAGGCGACGAUCGCUAGCUGGUCUGAGAGGAUGAUCAGCCACACGGCGGCUGGGACACGGACCAGACUCCUACGGAGGCAGCAGUGGGGCAUCUAGCACAGUGGGCGCAAGCCUGAUGCGGCCAUGCCGCGUGUAUGAAGAGGAGCUUAGGGUUGUAAAGUACUUUAAGCGGGGAGGCGGUACCCGAAGAAGAAGCACCGGCUAACUCCGUGCCAGCAGCCGCGGUAAUAC
rnacentral:rRNA from 1 species